CGUUGAUCCUCACAAAAAAAUGAUCAAAGCAAUCCAUUAUAUACCGCUUAUAACUUGUAAUUAUAUAUAACAUAAUUUUACAAGUAUAAACAAUACAAUGAAAUAAAAGUUAUUAUGAAAUGCAAAUCAAUUCUAACAUUUUAACUUUCAAACACGAAAAAAAACAUAAUUUCUUAAAACACUAUUACUAUCAUACUAUUCAUUUUAUCUCCCUAUAAGCAAAUAAUCAAUAAAAUUUAUCAAUAUUACAAUUAAAACAUAAUUUCUUCAUGAACAAAAAAUAAAAUUAUAUGAUAAUUCUGAUACAUAGGACUUAUGACCAAUGACAAGUGAAAAUGUACAAUUCCGCUAUGUGUUUUUUUUUUUUUUUAAAUUAAGUGAUAUUCACCCUCACGACGUUCUCAAAUAGUAAAUAUCCAAUACUACGACUUGUUAUAUGAGUUACACCUAAUCUUCUAUUUCUAUAAAUGAAAAACUAUUAAGUAUCAUUAUUUUGUUAAACAAUUAUGAGGGUGAAUGAUUUUAAUUAAGGAAUUUAAAAUAUAAUUUGUGUAAGAACUGUUAGGCGAGCCCUGGGCGUUGUGCGUUAGGCGUGUUUAGGGCGUACGGUUGGGCGCUUAGGGCGUAAGCCUCAUAGGAACUAAGCCCCGCACAUUAGCCCCAGGACGUUUUGCCACUGCACUGCCUUUUAAAACAAUGGUCUUUACUUAAAAAUUUUAUAAAUAUAAAAUACUAAAUUAAUCUAAUACCAUAUCAAACUAUAAUUUUUAAAAAUUAUAUGGCAGUUGGUAGUGGUGAUGGGCCUGAUGGCUAGCGAUGGUCAUUAUGGGUGGUGCCGAUUGGGAAUGUUAGGCUGAUGGCGGCGUUUGUAGAUAGUAGCUAGCAGUGAUGGUAGAUGGCAGUACUAAUUAAUAGUGGUAGUUGGUGGCGGAUGAUGGUGGUGAUUGACUGAUUGUUGUUAGUGAAAGGUGAUUCUCAUGAUGAUUAUGAAUGGUGGUUAAUGUUUGGUGACAAUUGACUCUGGUGAUUUCAGGGUUUGGUGGUUGUGGCUGAGGGUGGUGGUAGUUGAUAAUGGUUGUAAUUGUUUGAUCGUUUUUCUCUGAGGAAGAGUCGGAAUAGAAUCAACUUGAAUUCGGGACCGCUGUGAUGGAUAGCGGUGAUGGAGUAGUCGUGAACUGCCAUCUUUAUAGAAAUUCUUUGAUAGACAUCGUGAUGAUUUAUAAAGUUUUAAUGACACUAAGACUUUGUUAUAGAUCCAUGUAGGACCCAUUGAGUAGUUCUAAAAUAAAAAAAGCAAACACACUUAAUGGUUAAGAUCUGAAUAAAUUAUGUGUAAAGUGGCCAGACAUCUUGACUUCACAAAUUCACAAUGUUGUGGGGUAGGGCAAGGGAGUGAGGGGUUGGCCAACAUUUGCAUAUGACGAAGAAGUUCAGUAUCAAACAAAGCUUGUACUGAUAUUAUUAUUUUUGAGACAGGGACAAUAGAGUAUGUGUGAAGAGCAGAGCUCUAAUGGGUAAGAAAGGAAGAAUAUGUAUGGGACAUUGAUUGAACAAAGAGCUGCUGAAAAAGUUAUUGAUCUAUGGUUUCUUUGAGUGAAAUUGAUGAAGGUCUGGAUCUCCCAUCUUUUUUCGCUUCAGUUGUGGGUGUGUCGGUCCUGUGGUUGGUCGAGUUCUAUGGAACUUUCACUUGAGGGAGACGUGAUAGGGGUAGAGUGUAUUCCUCUAUUAUACACUCUGAGUAACUUACAUAUGGAUCUUUGACGUCUUUGCAGUCAUCGAGUAUUAUUCAUAUGCGCUUGAAUUGUAAAGCGUAGAUCGUUGAGUCUCUUUCUUCUUUCUCCUUUAAUCUCUUUUUUGGUUCUUUGGGAAAGUAAGCUGAAUAGGUCACUUAAUGUUGACAUUGUAAAAUUUUUAUUGUAGUCACGGGCAGUGCAAGUUAGGAUUUGUGAAUCAUAUUUCUGAGUGAUGUAAUCCGAGUUCUAAAAUAUUUGACAGAUCGUUCAGUAAUGGACUCUUGUUGUAUGCUAUGACUGCUUUUGAACUCAAUGGUGUGCGUUGGGACGAAGCUACAGUUCUUGGUUGAAAUUUUAUAGUUGUGUUGGGGAAUUCAUUUAGUAUCGAGAAUCAAGAAAUUGCCUUUUUAGAAUUCAUAA